GACGAACGCUGGCGGCGUGCUUAACACAUGCAAGUCGAACGGAAAGGCCCCCACCUUGGUGGGGGUGCUCGAGUGGCGAACGGGUGAGUAACACGUGGGUGAUCUGCCCUGUACUUCGGGAUAAGCUUGGGAAACUGGGUCUAAUACCGGAUAGGACCAUGGUUUAGUGUCUCAUGGUGGAAAAAUUAUUGUUUUGGUGCAGGAUGAGCUCGCGGCCUAUCAGCUUGUUGGUGGGGUAAUGGCCUACCAAGGCGUCGACGGGUAGCCGGCCUGAGAGGGUGGACGGCCACAUUGGGACUGAGAUACGGCCCAGACUCCUACGGGAGGCAGCAGUGGGGAAUAUUGCACAAUGGGCGCAAGCCUGAUGCAGCGACGCCGCGUGGGGGAUGACGGCCUUCGGUUUGUAAACUCCUUUCGUUAGGGACGAAGCCACACCUUUUUUGGGUGUGGUGACGGUACCUUUGUUAAGAAGCACCGGCUAACUACGUG
rnacentral:rRNA from 1 species